GUCACCAAUCUUGUGCAACUCUUUGGCUUCAGUUGUAUCUUAUGCAGGUAUAAACAAAAACUCCAUCGAAGUUGUUUGUUAACAAUUAUCAACAGGACAACAACUAUGGAGAAUGUAAUAUGUUCAAAAGCCAGAAACUGUGGGUUUUCUUUUUGCCGCUAAAUUUGAUUUUGUUUCCCUAAAUGGUUGUGUAGCUUGCUUAGCUGUUUAACCUUCGUUCAUGCACAAAAUAAUUCUUGCAUAAACUACAAAAUCCCAUGAGCGGUACCACCAGGAGACACGUACACCCAUACACAAUAUUUAAAUUUCAUAUGGUCUUACUUCAAAAUAGGAGAACUCCCUCUGUCUCUUUCAUUCUCUCUCCUUACAUGAUAGUGAAUUGGUGUGCUAAAAUGCAAUCACAGCCUUUCCAGUGUUGCCUUUAGAUACAACUUGAUAAUCUAGGCUUUUUAAGACAUAGCAUUUGUUUCUAUAUUCAGAAUGUUGUCAUAUAAGGAUAUUCUAUCAAAUGAAAUUCCAUUAUUAGGUUCACUAAAAAUUCCGAAGCAACAUUGGUAACCCAUUAUUAUGCAGACAGCUGCAUAAAUGGCAUCUAUCAAGAAGGAUAAGUUGGUAAGAGCUUUUGUGCAUGCAACAAAAGCAUGCAGUUUGCAACAUCUUUUUUCUUUUCUUUUUUUUUUUUUUUUUUUUUUUUUUUUUUUUUUGGGGGUUAAAGGGCAUUUAAUAAUUAUGCUUUGUCAACUUUUUUUUUUUUUUUUUUUUUUUUUUUUUUUUUUUUUUUUUUUUUUUUUAUGGGGCCUAAAGGUGUAAAUGAAGAAUUAGAAAAAUGUUGCUAAAUGGGAAACAUCAAGAGGAGCGUAAUUCUGAUAAGUCAUUCUGAUCUGCAAAGAAUAGAAAUAGUACCAUAGGCACUGUUAGCAGUUGCUGCAGCUGCAGAAAGUAAGCUAUCAUAGCAAUCUCUCAUGUCCUCCAUGUCCUAAGAAAAAAGAAAAUCAGCUAGGUUAUUGGCACUGCUUGAGCAGUCAGUACAGUAGAACUACAAAACGCGAGCGACCAAAAAACAGAUAAUUAAUUUUUAAUCAUCACUAGAUACAAUAAUAAGCCACCAACACACUUCUAGCUAAUAGUUCUGAAUAAUGGUUAAUUACAGCAAGCAAUCAUGACUCUUCCAAUUAUACCUAGGAAACAAAACCAACGAAAUUAGUGAGCAAUCAAUCAUUUCAAUACUUUUCAUAGCACUGACCAAAUUAGAAGUUAUCUAUUUGAACAAAUCAUAGAAAAGAGAUUAAGCAAAAUAAAAUUUUUCAAAAACAGAAAAGAAUUUUAUCAAGCACUAAGAAUUCUGUACUCUAACAAGGUCCCUGCUUAUACUGAACAAAGAGUGACACGCGAACAUCAAGUUUGGUAUCUGAGAAAUCGCUUCGCUAGAAAAUGAAGAAAGCGAGAACAAGAGGUGAUGCCUGUUGUUAAAAAAUUCAAAUCUCUUUUCGUUUGAGCAACCAAACAUGGAGAUGGAGGUGUACCUGAGAAGCCUUAUCAAGCUCGUUGAACAAAGUCAAAGGGCGAUAUUCUCUUCGGUCCUUGUGGUCACCAUGUCGAAGUGCGAAUCCUCGCAAUUUCCUGAAAGACGUUCUCAUUUUCUUUCCUUUCCUUUCCUUUCUCGGAAAGAUAAAGAGAAUCAGAUUGAAAUGGAAGAAAUGAUGGAGAAGCUGAAAUUGAAAGGAAUUGUUAUGAAUCAACGAAAAAUGGCAAUAUCUUCCUCAGGCUACAUACAUUCUCUCUCUCUCUCUCUCUCUCUCCCCCUGGUUACGUCACCAGCAAAUAUAAGAUCCCUGACCCAGCAAAUAUAUAAAUCUCACCAUAUUUUCUCAUUUAAAUUAAAUUUAAAAAUUUUUGGACAAUUGUUGCUUCUUGACUUCCUUGUUUCUUCCUUCUCUUAUCUUCUUCUUCUGCAUGUUUUUUCUUUUGCUUUUUCUUUUUCUUGUUUUUUCUUAAAAGUAGUGUGUAUAUAUAUAUAUAUAUAUAUAUAAUUAUGGUCCUUGGUCGAAUUAGAAUUCACCACCUCUACUUAGAGGAAUGCUAUAAGUUACCGACUUACUGCAGUUAUUACUACUAUUAAUGAGAGAUCUUAGUGAAACGGUGCGGCAUGGAUAAGGUUUUGGAUUUUUUUUUUUUUUUUUUUUGUGAAAUUUUAAAAGUAUAUUAUUGUUUGGCUAAAUAAAUAUUUGAAUCUAUUUCAAAAAAAUAAAUAAAUAUUUAAACAUAAUAUAAUUUGUCAUAAAAUCUAAUGUUGAUUAAAAUUAGAGUAAUGUUGGUAAUUUUCAAAAUCCUUAGGUAAUAUUUUUUUUUUUUUUUUGUCUUUUUUGAGGGUAGGUAAUAUAAUUUCUUUUUGUCAAAGGCUAUUUUCAACAUAGAUAAAGAAAAUCAUGAGGGAAUAUUACCUGUUUUUUUUUUUUUCUUUACUUAUAAGUCAAACUAAACAUUUUUAUAAAUAUUUCUUACUGUUCAUAAAAAUUUUACCAAUUCGAUUAUUUAAUAUAAGAGUUGUCUAUAUUGUAUAUAUGUUUCACUGUAUUAUUGUGGUUCCUUGAAUUUUUCAAUGAAUAAAAAAUAUUGAUGCUUAAUAUAUUUGUACAAUGACAAUUUGAUGUGUGGCAAAUUUGAUAUUUUACAUAUUUUUUUAAUAUAAAUUAUUGAUUUUUACAAUUUUAUUAAUUAGAUAAAUGUAAUUUAUAAAUUGGAAUAUCUAAUACAUGUAAUUUUACAAAUAAAAUUAAUGGUGCUAAUAUUUAAAAAAAAAAAAACAAAGUUAGGUCAGCUAUUAGCGAAGCUAACGUGUAAUGUAAUUUAAUUCAUAAGUAACAAAAAUAAAUUAAUGCUGUUUGAUCAACAGAACAGAAUGAAGAAUUGACUUCCUUUUUUUUUUUUUUUUUUUUUUUCUUAUUGAGUUACAAAAUCUCUGACUCGUCCUUUAAUAAUGGUUUUGGACCUACCAGAACGGUUUUUUUUUUUUUUUUAAAUACUAGCAAAGGUAUCUUAAUAAAUCACCAUGAAUGUUAUUAGCCGGUCCAUUAAAAUUUUCCUCUACGCGUGGUCCCACACAUCCUAUUCAUCCUUACCUAUAGUGUUGAAAAUUAAAUUGGUGAUCAUGGAAUAUAUAUAUAUACAAACAAACGAAUUAUAAAAAAUAAAGACAACAUAAUACAAUUUUUAAGUUAUAGCUUAAUCAGGAUUAUGAUGUUUAAAUUAAUUAGUAAGUAGUAGUAUAUGAUUUAUUUUUGUGAUUCGAAGAAUAAAGAUCACAUUUAGACAUUAUUUAAUUUGUUUUAAAUGCUAAAAUAACAUUAAUUUGUUGAGUUGAUUUUUCUUAGUGAUUAAAAUAUGGAGGAUUAUUGAUUAAUUUUGUUUGUUUUUGAAUUCAAAAGCUUCAAAAUUCAGUUGUCGAAAUUAACAAAAACGGCAGAAGACCAGACGGAAAAUGAUAAAAGACCUACACUUUCUCUAGUCCUGAAAACGUGUUUUCCAGCCACUGAAGUAAUUUAUGUUCACAUCAUGAAAAGUAAUCCUUCCUAGUUAAUGCCUCUAACAGUAGGCAAUUGUUUUUUUUUUUUUUUUCAAUGUUUAUUCAUUAGCUGGUCAAAGUCAGUUCAAGAUGUAUAGAUUUUUCUUGCUUUUUCUUUUUCCCAUUUUUGUCACAAAUUCAAAUAUUGCAGCGUCUGUAUUUAGAAUUUUUUUCCAUUAGUAAAUAAAUAUUGAUUUUUAUUCCGAUAUACACAUUGCAUAUCCAUGUCUUUUUCAUGGAAAUAUUCAUAAUGUUAACUUGAAUAAUUAAGAAAGAUGUUUCAAUCAAAUCAAUUAUUGAUUCAGUUUUUUGUUGAAUAUUUGUGGGUAAACGCUGGGGUCCAUGACCUGAAGAGGUGGCAGAGAAAGCUCUUUUUCUUUAUUGUAUAUUGUCCGUGUAUGUAUAAAUAAAUAUUAAAUAUUAUGGUUAAUUAAAAAGAUCAUUAUAAUUUGAAUUGAAUAAUAAUUAUUCAUAAGUACAUGUUCCCAUGAAGAAAGGCGACUUAUCAGAGUAUAAAGGCUCUCAGUCAAGAGAAAGAUACGAAAAAAGAAGUUUCUGGCGAAAGGAGAUGUGGCGUGGGAAAGUUUGAGAAACAUACAGAGAAUGAAGUUGAUCAAAUGAGGACAACUCAAUUCCAACUUUCGGUAAAGGAAGUCAUCGAAAUAACAAUCAAACAAGCAACCCUGACCACUAUCUAAGACUUUCAAACCCUAAUUUCCUCAAGUCUCUCCAGACAUGCCGUCGGGCUGCAUAUCAAUCGUUGUUCUAACGUAAAAACUCAGACAACAAAAAUUGUGUACAUGCACAUGCAUAUCAACAGUGAAGAUGACCUUACGAAAUUUUUUUAAUGCUCUUGCUAUUGAACGUUCAUUCUACUUGAUAAAUACUUGUCACUGUACGCUGCAUCGAUUUUUUGCAUGUCUAAUGACCUAAAGACAGCGUUGCUCCGAGAAGUUAAAGUAUCAAUCUCAGAACAAAAUCGUGUGAAUUGAACAACACAUCCUUUGAAGAUGAUCUUCAAAAUGCCGACAAACCUCUACAAAAAUGAAUGCAACAUAUAAAAAACCAAAUGUAAAUUUAAAUUUUGACUCCGUAUAAAACAGGUCUGUAUCAGGUAAGCAAAUUUGAC
rnacentral:lncRNA from 1 species